GACGAACGCUGACGGCGUGCUUAACACAUGCAAGUCGAACGGAAAGGCCCUGCUUUUGUGGGGUGCUCGAGUGGCGAACGGGUGAGUAACACGUGAGUAACCUGCCCUUGACUUUGGGAUAACUUCAGGAAACUGGGGCUAAUACCGGAUAGGAGCUCCUGCUGCAUGGUGGGGGUUGGAAAGUUUCGGCGGUUGGGGAUGGACUCGCGGCUUAUCAGCUUGUUGGUGGGGUAGUGGCUUACCAAGGCUUUGACGGGUAGCCGGCCUGAGAGGGUGACCGGCGCCAUUGGGGAUGAGAGACGGCCCCGAGACCUCUGGGGGGGGGAGGAGGGGAAAAUUUCGCACAGGGGGGGGAAGCGAGACGGAAACGCGGCGUGCGGGGGAUGGGGGUCUGGGGUUUAAAACGCGUUUGCGUGUGAGAAAGAGCGAGGGAGAGGAAAGGGGGAAAAAGAACCCGGUAACACCGC
rnacentral:rRNA from 1 species